rnacentral:rRNA from 1 species
CCUACGGGAGGCAGCAGUGGGGAAUAUUGGACAAUGGGCGAAAGCCUGAUCCAGCAAUGCCGCGUGAGUGAUGAAGGCCUUAGGGUCGUAAAGCUCUUUUACCCGGGAUGAUAAUGACAGUACCGGGAGAAUAAGCCCCGGCUAACUCCGUGCCAGCAGCCGCGGUAAUACGGAGGGGGCUAGCGUUGUUCGGAAUUACUGGGCGUAAAGCGUGCGUAGGCGGUUAUUCAAGUCAGAGGUGAAAGCCCGGGGCUCAACCCCGGAACGGCCUUUGAAACUAGGUAGCUAGAAUCUUGGAGAGGUCAGUGGAAUUCCGAGUGUAGAGGUGAAAUUCGUAGAUAUUCGGAAGAACACCAGUGGCGAAGGCGACUGACUGGACAAGUAUUGACGCUGAGGCACGAAAGCGUGGGGAGCAAACAGGAUUAGAUACCCUGGUAGUCCACGCCGUAAACGAUGAUAACUAGCUGUUCGGGUACUUGGUAUCUGAGUGGCGCAGCUAACGCAUUAAGUUAUCCGCCUGGGGAUACGGUCGCAAGNUUAAAACUUAAAUGAAUUGACGG